GACGAACGCUGGCGGCGUGCCUAAUACAUGCAAGUAGAACGCACAGUUUAUACCGUAGCUUGCUACACCAUAAACUGUGAGUUGCGAACGGGUGAGUAACGCGUAGGUAACCUGCCUGGUAGCGGGGGAUAACUAUUGGAAACGAUAGCUAAUACCGCAUAAUAUUGAUUAUUGCAUGAUAAUUGAUUGAAAGAUGCUAUUGCAUCACUACCAGAUGGACCUGCGUUGUAUUAGCUAGUAGGUGAGGUAACGGCUCACCUAGGCGACGAUACAUAGCUGACCUGAGAGGGUGAUCGGCCACACUGGGACUGAGACACGGCCCAGACUCCUACGGGAGGCAGCAGUAGGGAAUCUUCGGCAAUGGACGAAAGUCUGACCGAGCAACGCCGCGUGAGUGAAGAAGGUUUUCGGAUCGUAAAGCUCUGUUGUAAGAGAAGAACGGGUGUGAGAGUGGAAAGUUCACACUGUGACGGUAUCUUACCAGAAAGGGACGGCUAACUACGUG
rnacentral:rRNA from 1 species